GAUGAAGAACGUAGCGAAAUGCGAUACGUAAUGUGAAUUGCAGAAUUCAGUGAAUCAUCGAAUCUUUGAACGCAUAUUGCGCUCUCUGGUAUUCCGGAGAGCAUGCUUGUUUGAGUAUCAGUAAACACCUCAACUCCCUUUUCUUUUUUGAAAUUGGAGCUGGACUUGAGUGAUCCCAACGCUUUCUUCCAAGAAAGUGGCGGGUUGCUUGAAAUGCAGGUGCAGCUGAACUUUUCUCUGAGCUAUAAGCAUAUCUAUUUAGUCUGCCUAAAAAACAGAUUAUUACCUUUGCUGCAGCUAACAUAAAGGCGACUAGUUCUUGUGCUGACUGAUGCAGGAUUCACAGAGACAGCUUCGGCUGACUUUGUAAACUCGAUCUCAAAUCAAGUAAGACUACCCGCUGAACUUAAGCAUAUCAAUAAGCGGAGGA
rnacentral:misc_RNA from 1 species